rnacentral:rRNA from 1 species
AGAGAGAGACAUGCGCGCAUAUCAAUAAGCGGAGGAAAAGAAACUAACAAGGAUUCCCCUAGUAACGGCGAGUGAAGCGGGAAGAGCUCAAAUUUGAAAUCUUCAAGGGUUUCCCUUGACGAAUUGUAGUUUAAAGAAGUGUUUUCUGUUAGAGAGGUGGUAAAAGUUCCUUGGAAUAGGACAUCAUAGAGGGUGAGAAUCCCGUAUUUGACCAUUAUUUUCAGCUGUGUGAUACACUUUCAACGAGUCGGAUUGUUUGGGAAUGCAGUCCAAAAUGGGUGGUAAAUUUCAUCUAAAGCUAAAUACUGGCGAGAGACCGAUAGCGAACAAGUACCGUGAGGGAAAGAUGAAAAGAACUUUGAAAAGAGAGUUAAACAGUACGUGAAAUUGUCAAAAGGGAAGCGUAUGACACCAGUGUUGUUUUCUCGAAAAUCAAUUAAAAAUGGCGGGACUUUGUGUUGUAUUGACUUUAUCAGCUUUCUGCACUUUUUUCCUGUCUUUUUUAAUGCACUUUUCGUUUAACAAGUCAACAUCAAUUUCUUUUGUUGUAAAAGGGUCAUUGGAAGGCGGCUUUCUUUUCGGAGAAAGUGUUUAUAGCCUUUGGCCUCUGCAAUCGGAGAGAUUGAGGUCUGCAGCGUAGAUCCUUCGGGGUUAGAUGCAUUUGUGCUAAGUUAUAGCCUUUCAUAGACAACUUGUUGACUAUGAUCAGUCAUGUAGCUUACUCGCUUAUGUCAUUUUACCUACGCUUAGGAUGUUGACAGCAGUAUAGACUGU